rnacentral:tRNA from 1 species
GAGGGGAUAGCUCAGUGGUAGAGUGCCUGCCUAGCAUGCACAAGGUCCUGGGUACAAUCUCCAGUACCUCCA